CACAGGUCAAGCGUAGCCAGCGUUCUCCAAAUCUCGUCCCACCCAUCUCAGACAUACCAUCAGGAUAAGUUACCGACUCCCAUGGCCACUGCUGCAUUCAGUACCAAGAUGGACAAGCGGAAGUUCUAUAUUGCCAUGGUGAUAACAAUCCUAGUGACGGAGCUGCUACUUGCGCCUAUGCUUUACUUCAGAUGGUUGGGUAGCGAUCGAAGACAUUUCAUCACCAGCGUCAUCUGCGACAUCGGGUUGUUCUACAUGAUCAGAUAUAUCAUAGAACGUCUACAUCCAGUAAGGAACUGGAAAGAAGGACUAAAACUCGCCGGAUACCUGACAGCGUUCUACUCCUUAAAUAUCUACCCCACCAUCGCAGUUAUCCCGAAUGUGUUUAGCUGCAUCACUGCAAUUUUUAAAACUACACAUGCUUUCGUGAACAUUUCAUUGAUAGUGCUGGCAUUGGUAUAUGUGAAGAAAUGAGAUCCACGUACUCUUUAACGUAUAAGAACAUGGCUCGCCAGCACAUACAUUCCCGCGAAUAAAGGUUGUGUACAUUGC